rnacentral:rRNA from 1 species
CCUACGGGAGGCAGCAGUGAGGAAUAUUGGUCAAUGGACGAGAGUCUGAACCAGCCAAGUAGCGUGAAGGAUGACUGCCCUAUGUGUUGUAAACUUCUUUUAUAUGGGAAUAAAAUGUGCCACGUGUGGCAUCUUGUAUGUACCAUAUGAAUAAGCAUCGGCUAACUCCGUGCCAGCAGCCGCGGUAAUACGGAGGAUCCGGGCGUUAUCCGGAUUUAUUGGGUUUAAAGGGAGCGUAGGUGGAUUGUUAAGUCAGUUGUGAAAGUUUGCGGCUCAACCGUAGAAUUGCAGUUGAAACUGGCAGUCUUGAGUACAGUAGAGGUGGGCGGAAUUCGUGGUGUAGCGGUGAAAUGCUUAGAUAUCACGAAGAACUCCGAUUGCGAAGGCAGCUCGCUGGCCGGCAACUGACGCUGAGGCUCGAAAGUGUGGGUAUCAAACAGGAUUAGAUACCCCAGUAGUC